GGUGAGAUGGCCGAGUGGUCUAAGGCGCUAGUUUCAGGAGGAGUUCUUCGGAACGCCAUCCGGCUUACUAGUCAGUAAUGGCGUGGGUUCGAAUCCCACUCUCAUCA